AACGAACGCUGGCGGCAGGCUUAACACAUGCAAGUCGAACGCUCCGCAAGGAGAGUGGCAGACGGGUGAGUAACGCGUGGGAACGUGCCUUUUGGUUCGGAACAACUUCGGGAAACUGGAGCUAAUACCGAAUGUGCCCUUCGGGGGAAAGAUUUAUCGCCAAAAGAUCGGCCCGCGUCAGAUUAGCUAGUUGGUGGGGUAAUGGCCUACCAAGGCGACGAUCUGUAGCUGGUCUGAGAGGAUGAUCAGCCACACUGGGACUGAGACACGGCCCAGACUCCUACGGGAGGCAGCAGUGGGGAAUAUUGGACAAUGGGCGAAAGCCUGAUCCAGCAAUGCCGCGUGAGUGAUGAAGGCCU
rnacentral:rRNA from 1 species